rnacentral:ribozyme from 14 species
UUUUCUUCUUCUCUCUUGUUUUUGUGUGUGUGCUUUAAAUUAAAAUGAAGGAAAAUGAGAAGAGAAAAAAAGCUUCUUUUUACCUUUCUGAACAACGUUUCUGAAAUCGCAACGUUUUAAAGCUAUUUAAUAUUAUACAUCAAGAAUUAAUUUACUACAAGCAUUACACGCGCGUGUAUCUGUUUCCG